AGAUUGGACACUGAGCUCCAGAAUGGACUGUCCACGAAGACCCAGUUUCAGUAUCCCUGGUACCCACGAUUAGUACCGGAAAGAGACUGGCCCAGCGUUAGGGAUCCAGUGCUAUCAUGUUUAGAAAUAUGAACAGGAAUAACUUGCAAACAGAUUCUUUUGAGAAGAGCUGUAAAAAAAAUCCAGUUGCAAUGAAUACUAUAAAUUAUAGAGAGAGCGCCUGUGAAAUAUACAGCAUAAUUUGGCAGUAGAAAUCUUAUCUGAAAAACAAGUUUAAAACUCUGUUCUUAACUAAAGUCUUGGGAUAUUAAUUUUUAUGGAGCCUGGAAGACUACUUUGAUUCUCUUAUUUUCAGUAGUAAAACAGAAUACUGUGUUUCUGACAGGCACAUGGACUACUGAUUUUUAGAAAAAAUAAUUGUCUUCCAGACUUUGUUCCAAAUCAGUGAAAUAACUUUUGAAGAAUUACACAUGGUAGUCAGUAUUUGUUAAUGGGAGAAUUUAUAAACUGAAUAUCCUUAGCUCUGAAAUGACAGACUCCAAAUAAUGACUAAUAAAUCCUGAAACACGUCUAUAUUUUAAUCUAUCCAAUAUAUAAUAUUUCUGAAGAGCUAAGAAUACAAUCAAGUGUCAUUUUCUGUAAUUAUUAAAACCCUGACUUUAAGAUUGCACAUAGUUCAGUACCUCUGUCAAAAUCGAUAUAGCACUAAGAAAUGGAGCAGAUUACAGGUUGUAUUUGUCUUUGAUCUAACCAUAAUUUUUUUGAUAUCUCUAUCCUUCAUUUCAUUUUUUUGUUUGUUUUUCUUCCCUCCCCUGCAUAGGAAGCCCUUACUUGGGAUUACAGGAUUGGGCAUUUAUGUGACAUUUUGGAUUCAAUAACAAGAGAUAUUAAGUAUUUAGCAGAUCACUGCAAUUGUAGAGUAUUUAGCAAAACCAUCAAUACUGAAUGGAGCAUAUCACUUACAGUCAGGCAUGGCUUCACUGGGAGUUUUGGCUGUAUAGAGAUUGCAAGCUUGGACAUUUCAUCACUUCCUUCCAUUUGUAUUCUUUGUGGCACACUCCACCCCCUUUUUUGCUGACGCUACUCAUUUUGAUUUUUGUAGUUGGAGCCAUUAUUAUUUAGUUUCAAGGGAAGUAAUUUAAUUUUAAAAAACAAAUAAGUAAAUAAAUAAAGCUAGUACUGCUGCUUUCCUAUCUUUAAAUGGAUGAGCCAAUUACAGGAAGAAAAAUUACCUCGUAUGUUAAAUUACUCACUCUUCAAAAUGAAUACAGAAGAAACCAAAAGACAAAGGAUUUUAAGGAUUCAAAAUAAGAAUUUGGAAAACAUACUCUGAUUCCUUCAGUGUAAUGAAUCACAUUAGCUUUGCUAACUGAAGGUCACACACAACCAUAAAUCCAUAGUAAAAGGGCUAGGUCAUAAACUAUUUCUUUUACACUUCGCUUCCUACUAAUAGCUACUAGAAAUGAAUUAUGUGGCCCAAUUAUUAUGUACAUGGUAAUAGCUGACAUUGUAUAACGUCUGCAAUUUUCCAUUAUACCAAAUAAGCAAAAAUUCAAAUAUAAAAUGCCAAUACAUACAGCCAUUUUCCAAUACAAAGUGCUUCCUUUUCAAGGCUCUUUAGUUUUUUCUGAUGCUUAUGAGUGCGAUUCUCCUUUUCUGUUCAGUCUAAGCACUCAUGAUUCAGCUGGUGGUUUUUCAAAAUGGAUGUACUCAAUCUGCCUGCAGGUACACUCAAGGAGGCCCACUGAAAAUCUGACCCAUCUGAGCAGGCUUUGUGAAUGGCCCUAGUGGCCUUGUUGCAUUUUGCACUAUAGUGUGCAGCAGCUCCAGGUUUAGGAAUGACUGUAGCUUGCUCCUCCUGAGCAGAUGGAACUUUGGAGCUUCUCAGAAGGGAGACUGUUGGGUUCAUGGCAGAAUGGCCACAGCUUCAUGACUCUUGAACUGAACAGCAAUGUUAUAGGAAGCGCUAGUCAGCUACUUUCCUAGCAAAAGGAAAAUGCUGUGAGUAUCCCUGUCGAAGUGAGAAGCUUCAUGAGGAAAAUAGUUCUCAACCCUAGAAGAAAAUGGACAGAGAUCCGUAAAAGCUUCAGUUGCAGGGAGAGAGAAAUCAGUGCAAAAUAUUUAAAUUGUAAAUAUGUUACAUGUGUACUAACUAAAGCAUGAGAGUGCCUUCUGGGACAUAGGCUUCAUUUUUAUAUUUCUCUAAACUUAGUCUUCAUUGUACUGGUUCGAGUGGCAGAAUCUCAGAUACAUAGAAAAUGGAAAAACUUCAAAAGUGAUUGUUACAGUCUCUGUCUGGGUAUGCUAGUCGCCUGAGGGAAUAAAAAUCACCUUCGUUUGUGCAUUUUGUGAUGGCAAAUUUGACAGUCUUUUGAGUAUUAGGGUGGGGGUUUUGGCUUAUCUGAAUUAUUAAAAUAUAACAUUGUUAAACACAUUCAGUAUGAACUUCAAACUUUCGACUUCAGCUGCUAACAUUAAACCAAAAAUAAAAUGCAUCCGUUGACUAUAGUUGUUGGACUUUGGAUCAGUCACCCUUUGAAGAAGGAGGAUGUGUGUUCUGCAUAAAUCUGGGCUAGACUUAAA